rnacentral:rRNA from 1 species
UGGGGAAUAUUGCACAAUGGGCGAAAGCCUGAUGCAGCGACGCCGCGUGAGGGAUGACGGCCUUCGGGUUGUAAACCUCUUUCAGUAGGGACGAAGCGCAAGUGACGGUACCUGCAGAAGAAGGACCGGCUAACUACGUGCAAGCACCGGCGGAAAUACGUAGGGAGCGAGCGUCGUCCGGAAUUACUGGGCGUAAAGAGCUCGUAGGCGGUUUGUCACGUUGUCUGUGAAAUCCUAGGGCUUAACCCUGGACGUGCAGGCGAUACGGGCUGGCUUGAGUACUACAGGGGAGGGUGGAAUUUCUGGUGUAGCGGUGGAAUGCACAGAUAUCAGGAAGAACACCGGUGGCGAAGGCAGGUCUCUGGGUAGUAACUGACGCUGAGGAGCGAAAGCAUGGGUAGCGAACGGG